CCGGAUAGAUCCGGGUAGUCCGGCUGUAACUCUCGGCUAGGUGUCGGUCGGCUUCGGGCCGGCGCGGUCCGAGGGAAGCCGUUAGUCCGCCGCCUGGGGAGUACGGUCGCAAGACUGAAACUUAAAGGAAUUGGCGGGGGACACUACAACGGGUGGACCUGCGGUUUAAUUGGAUUCAACGCCGGGCAUCUUACCAGGGGCGACGGCAGGAUGAAGGCCAGGUUGGCGACCUUGCCAGACGCGCCGAGAGGUGGUGCAUGGCCGUCGUCAGCUCGUACCGUGAGGCGUCCUGUUAAGUCAGGUAACGAGCGAGACCCGUGCCCCAUGUUGCCAUCCCCUCCUCCGGGAGGGGGGCACUCAUGGGGGACCGCCGGCGAAAAACCGGAGGAAGGUGCGGGCAACGACAGGUCCGCAUGCCCCGAAUCCCCUGGGCUACACGCGGGCUACAAUGGCCGGGACAAUGGGAUGCGACCCCGAAAGGGGGAGCAAAUCCCCUAAACCCGGUCGUAGUCCGGAUCGAGGGCUGUAACUCGCCCUCGUGAAGCCGGAAUCCGUAGUAAUCGCGCCUCAC
rnacentral:rRNA from 1 species